CCUACGGGCGGCAGCAGUGGGGAAUAUUGGGCAAUGGGCGCAAGCCUGACCCAGCAACGCCGCGUGAAGGAAGAAGGCUUUCGGGUUGUAAACUUCUUUUGACAGGGAAGAGCAGAAGACGGUACCUGUCGAAUAAGCCACGGCUAACUACGUGCCAGCAGCCGCGGUAAUACGUAGGUGGCAAGCGUUGUCCGGAUUUACUGGGUGUAAAGGGCGUGUAGCCGGGCUGACAAGUCAGAUGUGAAAACCAUGGGCUCAACCUGUGGCCUGCAUUUGAAACUGUUUUUCUUGAGUACUGGAGAGGCAGACGGAAUGCCUCGUGUAGCGGUGAAAUGCGUAGAUAUGAGGAGGAACACCAGUGGCGAAGGCGGUCUGCUGGACAGCAACUGACGCUGAGGCGCGAAAGCGUGGGGAGCAAACAGGAUUAGAUACCCUUGUAGUC
rnacentral:rRNA from 1 species